GGGCCGUUAGCUCAGUUGGUAGAGCAGUUGACUUUUAAUCAAUUGGUCGCAGGUUCGAAUCCCGCACGGCCCACCA
rnacentral:tRNA from 20 species